rnacentral:rRNA from 1 species
GACGAACGCUGGCGGCGUGCUUAACACAUGCAAGUCGAACGGAAAGGCCCUGCUUUUGUGGGGUGCUCGAGUGGCGAACGGGUGAGUAACACGUGAGUAACCUGCCCUUGACUUUGGGAUAACUUCAGGAAACUGGGGCUAAUACCGGAUAGGAGCUCCUGCUGCAUGGUGGGGGUUGGAAAGUUUCGGCGGUUGGGGAUGGACUCGCGGCUUAUCAGCUUGUUGGUGGGGUAGUGGCUUACCAAGGCUUAGACGGGUAGCCGGCCUGAGAGGGUGACCGGCGACAUUGCGACUGAGAUACGGACCAGAAGCGUACGGGAGGCAGCAGUGGGAAAUAUUGCGCAGUGGGCGGAAGCGUGAGGCGACGACGUCGCGUGCGGGAUGACGGCCUUCGGGUUGUAAACCGCUUUCGCCUGUGACGAAGCGUGCGUGACGGUAAUGGGUAAAAAAGCACCGGCUAACUACGUG